rnacentral:lncRNA from 1 species
GUGAAACUACAAAGAGUAACUCAGCAGUUGCCAGCACGGCUGUGUUAGUAUGAGAGAAUAGCCAGAAGCAUGCAUGCCCAUCUACAUGACUGGCCACUCAGCUCCUUUGAAUCACAAAUGAGCCUCGAUGCACUGAUGCUUCACUGAACUGCAUACAUCUGUAUGUACAGAUAUUUUGGGACAGAGAGUCUGCCAAACACCUGCGGGACACCAGCAGCAUCAUACAGAUUUAGAAGUAAGAGCAUAUCCUGCAGACUGUGGUACAGGAUAUCACUUUGUCAGGACUUAAGAAGCUGCAGCCUGAACAGGCAGGGAAGUGGGGACAACAGCUGAGCCUUUUAUCCACUGAGCAUUUCAAGGGGCUGGAGGUACUCUGCAACAAGCUGCCCCUCCAGUGAGGAUGCAUGCCUGGCCACAUGAUUAAUAUGAGGAUGUCUGUCGAGAGUGCGUGAAAGAAUGGACAAAACAACAUUUCGGCACCAAAACGACCAAACCGGAACUUUGAUCCACUUUGCAAUGAUUCCCUUGCAAGAGAGCAGACCUGUGCCCAGCAGGUCCAGAGGCCAACUGUGAGUGAUCCACUCCUCACUAUUGAAAGCCACC